UAGGGAAUCUUCGGCAAUGGGGGGAACCCUGACCGAGCAACGCCGCGGGGGUGAAGAAGGUUUUCGGUUCGUAAAGCCCUGUUGUUAAGGAAGAACGAGUGUGAGAAUGGAAAGUUCAUACUGUGACGGUACUUAACCAGAAAGGGACGGCUAACUACGUGCCAGCAGCCGCGGUAAUACGUAGGUCCCGAGCGUUGUCCGGAUUUAUUGGGCGUAAAGCGAGCGCAGGCGGUUAGAUAAGUCUGAAGUUAAAGGCAGUGGCUCAACCAUUGUAGGCUUUGGAAACUGUUUAACUUGAGUGCAGAAGGGGAGAGUGGAAUUCCAUGUGUAGCGGUGAAAUGCGUAGAUAUAUGGAGGAACACCGGUGGCGAAAGCGGCUCUCUGGUCUGUAACUGACGCUGAGGCUCGAAAGCGUGGGGAGCGAACAGG
rnacentral:rRNA from 1 species